rnacentral:rRNA from 1 species
CAGUCGCCGCGGGAAUACGGAGGGGGCUAGCGUUGUUCGGAAUUACUGGGCGUAAAGCGCACGUAGGCGGCUUUGUAAGUCAGAGGUGAAAGCCUGGAGCUCAACUCCAGAACUGCCUUUGAGACUGCAUCGCUUGAACGUCGGAGAGGUGAGUGGAAUUCCGAGUGUAGAGGUGAAAUUCGUAGAUAUUCGGAAGAACACCAGUGGCGAAGGCGGCUCACUGGACGACUGUUGACGCUGAGGUGCGAAAGCGUGGGGAGCAAACAGGAUUAGAGACCCCCGUAGUCCCUGUCUCUUAUAC